CUUGUUGAAACACUGGUUCUUGUAUGAUCCCUGAAGUUAAGCAACAUUGAGCCUGGUCAGUACCUAGAUGAGUAACCACUUGGGAAUACGAGGUGCUGUAAG